rnacentral:rRNA from 1 species
CCCUUGGAUGUUCUGGGCUGCACGCGCGCUACACUGAAGCUAUCAACACGUUUUCCCUCCCUGAGAAGGGCGGGUAACCUUUUGAAUCAGCUUCGUGGUAGGGAUCGGGGCUUGCAAUUGUUCCCCGUGAACCAGGAAUUCCUAGUAGACGCGAGUCAUAAGCUCGCAUCGAUUAAGUCCCUGCCCUUUGUACACACCGCCCGUCGCUACUACCGAUUGAACGUUUUAGUGAGGCAUUUGGACCGACGCAUCUCAGUUUAACCGCUGGUUUGUGUUGGAAAGACUUCCAAACUUGAGCGUUUAGAGGAAGUGAAAGUCGUAACA